rnacentral:rRNA from 1 species
CCCGCACAAGCGGUGGAGCAUGUGGUUAAUUCGACGCAACGCGAAGAACCUUACCAGGGCUUGACAUCCCCUGACCGCGUAUGAAAGUACGUUUUCACCCUCGGGUGACAGGGAGACAGGUGGUGCAUGGUUGUCGUCAGCUCGUGUCGUGAGAUGUUGGGUUAAGUCCCGCAACGAGCGCAACCCCUACGUUUAGUUGCUAACGCGUGAAGGCGAGCACUCUAGACGAACUGCCGUUGACAAAACGGAGGAAGGUGGGAUGACGUCAAAUCAUCAUGCCCCUUAUGUUCUGGGCUACACACGUGCUACAAUGGCCGGUACAGACGGAGGCGAAGCCGCGAGGCGGAGCAAAUCCGAAAAAGCCGGUCUCAGUUCGGAUUGCAGGCUGCAAUUCGCCUGCAUGAAGUCGGAAUCGCUAGUAAUCGCAGGUCAGCAUACUGCGGUGAAUACGUUCCCGGGCCUU